rnacentral:tRNA from 1 species
GCGGGUGUGGCGGAAUUGGCAGACGUGCAGGAUUUAGGAUCCUGUGCCGAAAGGCGUGCGGGUUCAAGUCCCGCCACCCGCA